rnacentral:miRNA from 1 species
CCGCGGUCGGGUCGGGCUGAGUG